CACGUAGGGUGCGAGCGUUGUCCGGAAUUAUUGGGCGUAAAGAGCUCGUAGGCGGUGUGUCGCGUCGGCCGUGAAAACCUGCAGCUUAACUGUGGGCGUGCGGUCGAUACGGGCAUCACUGGAGUUCGGCAGGGGAGACUGGAAUUCCUGGUGUAGCGGUGAAAUGCGCAGAUAUCAGGAGGAACACCGGUGGCGAAGGCGGGUCUCUGGGCAGUAACUGACGCUGAGGAGCGAAAGCAUGGGGGAGCGAACAGG
rnacentral:rRNA from 1 species